UGGGGUGUAGCUCAGUGGUAGAGCACUUGCCUCCCAUGUACCAGGCACUUGGUUCAAUCCCCAGAACCUCAA
rfam:Ictidomys tridecemlineatus contig045589, whole genome shotgun sequence.